rnacentral:rRNA from 1 species
GACGAACGCUGGCGGCGUGCCUAAUACAUGCAAGUCGAACGAAGCUGUUUUAACUGGUGCUUGCACCGACUUAAACAACUGAGUGGCGAACGGGUGAGUAACACGUGGGUAACCUGCCCCAAAGCGGGGGAUAACAUUUGGAAACAGAUGCUAAUACCGCAUAACCAGAGAAACCACAUGGUUUCUGUGUCAAAGAUGGUUUCGGCUAUCACUUUGGGAUGGACCCGCGGCGUAUUAGCUAGUUGGUAAGGUAAUGGCUUACCAAGGCAAUGAUACGUAGCCGAACUGAGAGGCUGAUCGGCCACAUUGGGACUGAGACACGGCCCAAACUCCUACGGGAGGCAGCAGUAGGGAAUCUUCCACAAUGGACGAAAGUCUGAUGGAGCAACGCCGCGUGAGUGAAGAAGGUUUUCGGAUCGUAAAACUCUGUUGUCAGAGAAGAACGUGUGCGAGAGUAACUGUUCGUGCAGUGACGGUAUCUGGCCAGAAAGCCACGGCUAACUACGUGCCAGCCGCCGCCGUAA